AAAGGUGGAUUCAUUGAUAAGAAAAGGUAAAAGACUCUAGGUAAAGUAAGCUGAAAGCAGAAAAAGUCUAGUAAAGGUUUUGGGAUUUGUAAAGAAAAGAAAGAGUUCUUGUUAGCUAAUGAAGAAGGGCAAAAGCCCUCGGUUUUAAAAUUUUAAA
rnacentral:sRNA from 1 species